GGAGGGGCAGAGAGAGCAGCAUGAGGCUGGACAAUGGACAAGGUGAACUGAAGGCAGAGUGGAUGAUGCCAAUUACUGCAGACUGCCUGUUCCAGCUUAGGAUGUUGAUGAUUGUUGGGCGUUGCGCUGCCACAGACGAGGGAUGCCGAGGAUGAUGAAGAGUGUGAAGAUGGGUCUUUCUGAAAGAGCCACAUCAGCACAAACAUUUGAUGUCGGCACACCUCAGCCUCCUCAUGCUGAAAGGAUUUUUUCAUCUUCCGCCCAUUUUCAUAGAUGAAAGAAAACCAGCCCAGAAACUGACCUGAACUGUGGUCUGACAAUCCCUCCAUUCUGUACAGGGUAAAUCUCUCUCCCUCCUGUUGAAUGAAGGCUGCUCCAUUUAGCUCCCCCUAGAGGUGCUGAGCACUAUUGUAAUGAUAGAAAACUCUCUCUUUGCAUUAUAUUUAUGUAUGAGCAGCAUGUUUGCUGUUUAUAGUAAUAUUUCAGCUCCCUGCAACAAGUUUUUCCUUUUCCCAUAAUCUGGUGUUGCUCAGUUUGUUUGGGACUUUAUUUAAAAUGUCUGUUCUGAAUUUGCAGCCCUUUCUUUUCUUUUUUAUCUCUUUGUUGUGUUUCCUCUUUUGUUCUGUGUUCUUAAAUAAUUAAAAACAGCAGAGAAAACAUUAAGAUCUCCUUUUCGAUACAAAAUAUAAAUAGAUACAUGAACUGGUUUAAAAUCAUACCCUCUUUUUGAAUGCUCCUGGCUGUAAACACAUUCAGCUUGGCAUUCAACCACACGAAUCAAAAGAGAUUCUGAGAUUUCAGCGAGCCUGAAGUGGCCAUUCAAGGAGAUGAACAGCUAGCUUACUAUUUUUUUUUUAGCACCAGAGGUUGCCGUUUGGUUUCCUUUGAAAUAAGUUUUUUAUUGAAGAUCCCACUGCAUUUUCUUACACCAGUUUGGGUUGGGCGAAGACUCCACACAUGACCUUUAGAAGACCUUCAAGUCCCUAUUCUCCUCAGAAUGUGUUUUCUUUAUUGCUGUUUCACUUGAAUGUUUGACCCUCUCUGUGCAGAAUGAUGUUUGCAAACAGUUUGGCACAGCAGUGCUUCAUUUUAACAUUUAUCUUCCAAUGGGAGUGUUUCUCUUUUAUCAAAUCUCAGCCCAAUAUGUGAAUGUAAGAGCAUGAUCAAGACUAGUUUGGAACCAAUAAUAGUCAAAAAUGUCAAAAACUCACACAAGUGUAAUGUGAGAACUUUUCAGUAAACUUGGAGACAUGUUUGAAUUCAGAAGCUCAAC